UCCUGUAAAGGGCCAGGUGGGAAGCACUCGUAGGCCCCGUGGUCUCUGUCGUGUCUGCUGAAGCCUGCCGUAGUAGCAUGGAAGCAGUCAGAGAUGACGUGUAAGCAAAUGGUCCCGACUGACCUCCGGUAAAGCAUUGAUUCCGGAAGCAUUUAACAGACCUAACAACCUUUCAAACCGCAUGGCGUUUCUUUCCCGGAUCCCGUUUCAGGAACGUUUCUGUUGGCUACAAGGACCGUCUCCAACAUGCUUAGGCUCUGUGAACUUUCCCAGGAUCCUGAGUAGGGUAUCCGCCAUUCGUCCUUAGGGCUCCGGGAUGUCUCGUUCUUACUGUGUCCCUGCCAACCCUGGUCCCAUCUCGUCAUGAUCACCCACUGCAGAAGAGAGGAGGUGCUAGAGUGAACAGGGUCAGGGGAGCCCCGUUCAUCCCCAGGGUCCCAGAAUGAACCAGUGUUACCAUGUACCCCUGCCCUUGCCUUCCUCCCUGCUCUAAUGGCCGUGUGUUAGCCGGAGAUCAGUUUGGGUCUGGGUGCUAUGGGUCUGUUGCGCCUGUGGCCUUGGUCCGGCCUCUGUCCUUGUCUCUGUGAAAUGAGAGUGACUGUGCCUGAGAGCGUUCCAGCAAGACAAUGAUGAUCUCCACUGUCUGAUUCCCGCUUCCCAGGUUCUCACAAUAGAUGAGGAUCCUGUUUUUCAGCCAGCUGCCGCAGAGGGGCUGGACAUUUCUCCCUUCAGACAGGACCAGGAAGGCCCGGAAGCAUCUGAGGAAGGGUGUCGCCAUGAGUAGAGAAAUCGAGGCUAUGGGCGGAAGUGGGAAGAAGCGAGAGAGGAAGACUCAUGGAAAGCCUUGCUGCGCUUGCCAAAAGAACUGCCCUCGGACUCAAGAGGGCCACGUUCAAUGCCAACCUGACAUAAGAAGAGCCAUGUGACCAGAUCCCUGGUUUGGCAGAGGAGACAUGCGAGAAGACGGAACGUUUUGGCCGAGGAGACAUCUGGCAGGGUGGAACGGAGGGAACAGGUGUGGCAGAGAGAAUAUCUGAGAAGCUCGCAGGAUUCCCAGAAGGAGCACUGGGAGUAGAUUGCCUGUUUUCCCGAAGGAACGGCAAGUUCCAAAGCUGUGCUGUGGGCAGUGUUUACUUCAUGUCUGCUUUGCUGGCGGGCCAAGUAGCAACAGCUGCAGUCGGCGUGUUCUCUGAAGGCAGCGUGUGAAGGGUGGAGGGGUUGCUCUUCUUCCCAGGUGUCUUUUGAAGAGGCAGUCAAGUCAGCAGCUCACAGUGGCCUUCUGGUAACAUCGUAUGGGCUGGGUUACAGCACAUGCCGACUGCUAAGCCAGUCACUGGGGAAAACCAUGUGAUUGCUGUGAUGAGCUUAGAAUGAUCAUUCCUCCUUCAGGAGCUGGGGUGGGUUGAGGGAACGAUAAAGAUCCUGAUAACCUUGCAUUUCUCCAGCGAGAAAGAAGAAAUUCCGUGGAUAGGGAGCCAGCCAGGUUUCCUGCAGAGAUUCACGGGAAGCUUUUGAGCAGGGGAGUCAGAAGAUGAGCGAUUCUCACAGUAGACGAGGAGCCUGUUUUUCAGCUAGCUGCUGCAAGGAGCUGGACAUUUCUCCCUUCAAAUAGGACCUGGAAGGCCUGGAAGCAUCUGGAGAAGGGCAUGGCUGUGAGUAGAGAAACAGAGGAUACAGGCUAAAGCAGGAGGAAGCGAGAGGACUCACGGAAAGCCUUGCUGCACUCUCCAAAAGAGCUGCCCUUUUCACGUGAAGAGCUAUGUGAUCGGAUCCCCGGUUUGGCAGAGUAGACAUGCGAGAAGACUGAACGUUUCAUCGUUGAAACCUCUUAAAGGUGGAAUGUGUGGCAGAAAGAACGUCUGAGAAGCUCACGCGAUUUGCAGAAGGAACAUUUGUAGAAGAUUCCCUGUUUUCCGAAGGAAUGUCAAGUUCCAAAGCCAUGCCGUGGGCAGUUUUUAGUUCAUGUGUGCUUUUCCGGUGGACUGAGUAGCAACAGCUGCAGUUGGCGUGUUGUCUGAAGGCAGUAUCUGAAGUGUGGAUGGGUUGGUCUUCUUCCCAGGUGUCUUUUCAACAGGCAGUCAAGUCUGCAGCUCAUAGUGACCUUCCGGAAACAUCAUAUGAACGUCCGAGAAGAUUCAGUGUUUGGCAGAAGAAACCUCUGUCAGACGUGAACGUGUGACAGAAGGGCCAUCCAGGAAGAUUGCACACUGGGCAGAAAGAAGACUUAAGAACAUUGCAUGGACAGCAGAAGGAGUGCUUCGGGAGAUUGCCUGGUGGGCGCCAGGAACACCUGAGAUGAUGUCAUGGCAAACAGUGGAAAUGAGAGGUUUACAUUUAAUGUCUUGUUUACAUAAGGUAGUAAACUCUGGAGCACUUGUGGUUAGGGGUGAAAACUCACCCUGGGUGAAGGAAGAAUCUUCCCUCUUCCCAGAGGGGCAAUGACUGGAAACGAGCAAGUAGGUGGGGUCUUUAAAGGGCCACAGUACUAGGCUCUAUCCUGACAGCUGUUCAGACUGCCCCAAAAGGCUUGUGAGAAGUUGUUGCUAGGGCAUAACAGGACAGUUAGAUUAAGAGUAGGAGUGAUAGCUUCUUCAACACUUUGGAGCAGGAAGGAAUGGAAGCAAGAUACAGUUGGAAGAGGGUGUAGUGGGUGACUUGAUGAAUCGAGUUCAUGGUAUUAUUUUUGACUUGGAUUCUCCUUCAUUGGCAUGCUUCUGAGUUGGCGUCAUUGCCUCUGCCCUGAUCCUUCCCUUGAGUGGGGCUGUUCACCAGUGCAGCGGCCAGUGAGCUCUUUGGGCGGGGUGUGUGGCAUACACAGUGCGAUGUCUGGAAUCUUACACGUGCUUACUUGAGGCAUUCUUACUCCACCGGUCGAGUGUUCUCAAAGAAAGAUGAUGGAGCUGCUAAACCUUGCCCAUUUUGAUCUGUUAUGUGAGACUUGCCUUUCGCCUUCUGUCAUGAUUGUGAAGUGUCCCCAGCCAUGUGGAACUGACACAUAUUGCUUGUCUCUGAACUUCUCAGCUGCCUGCAGAUCUUCCUGUUUUUCAGCUGCAGUUAGGGUUUGUCUGAGGAGAAGCAUAACAUCCCUCCAGGCCAAAUGCUCCACAAAUAAAUGUGUUGAAUGAAUGAACAAAUGAAUAAGCGAAGUGAAUGGAACAUCAAACUGCAUAAAAAUAUAUUUAUUCAUAAAUGAGAGGUGAUGAUUGCCAACAUAUCAUAAUCAGACUCUGACCUUGGUUACUUAUGAGUUUGACAACGAAGAGGAAAGAGGAUCAGAAUGGAUCUACAUUUGUCCUGUGUCAAUGGCUAUCCAGAAGCGGUAACUUUGCUGGUGCACAGAAAGUGCCAGCUUAACGUGUGUGACGGUGAAAACACGACACCUCUGAUGAAGAUAUAUAGUAGCCAGUUAUUUCAGCAUGAGAUGGAUUUGGUUUAAAUACAUAGAAUAAAAAUGGAUUUAUUUCAUUGAAAUGUAACUAAUUUGUGAACCUAUGGAAUAUUUAUUUGUAUUUUCUAGAAUUUACAAUGUGUUUCUUGGUCUAAUACUGACAGGCUAUACAAUGCCAAGAAGAUGUUUAUGCAACUAUUCUGCUGGACUUUGGUGCCUAUCCAGAUAUUACAGAUAUCAACAGAAAAACUGCUCUCCACUGUGCUGUCUAUAGUGAGAAUAUGUCAGUGGUGGCAAAACUGCUUUCACACAACACAAACAUCUAAGUGAAAAAUGGAGUAGAGAAUAACCAACAUUAUUUUCAAAAUAUUUGAAAUCCAUUUGCUUUAACACUGACAUGCGUUAGGGUCAGUUUUUCAUAUUUGGAAGCUCAAGCAUGCUCUUCUGUGAAUGAAAAUAUUCUGAAGUAACUGUCUAAUAAUUUAAAUAUUAAUGUUUUUAAAGAAGUAUUAGACGGUAUAGCUUUCUUUCAUGCAUUUAUGAUAAAUAUUUAAAUUUAUUAAAGGUAAAAGUUUGUUUUUCAAAUAUUUUAGCCACUCAAGUUUUUGUUCUUUCUAAUUAGUGUAAAACAACACAGAAAAGCAAAAUGUGCCUGCAUAAACUGAGUCAACAUGUAAACCUUUUGAUAUUUAUUAUUAAAUAAGUUAUUUGGCAAUGUAUCAAAUUUUUAAAUGUGUGUCCCUUUUGACCUAGAAAUUCUACUCCCAGGAAUUUCUCCUAAGAAGAUAAUCAGAAAAGUUUACAAAGAUGAAUAGAAAAGAAGAGUCACUGCAGCCUUAUUUGUAAAAGUGAAAAAUAGCAACAGCCCAAAUGUCAUGAAUGGAGAAUUAAUAUAUGGUGCAUCCAUACAAAAAUACUGUGCAGCGAGUAAGCCAAUGAAGCCCAAAAUUUCUGACAUGGACAUUGACAUAGCAGAGUGACAAUAACGAGGUUAUAAAACAUCAUCAGUGAAAGGUCUAUUUGUACAAAUUAAUUUUUUGAGUGUAUACUUAGGGUAUAUAAAAUGUAUUUGGUUAAUGUCAAAAUAAUUAUCUUUGCUUAAGUAAAAUUUGGGGGCAAUUUAAAUUUUUUAAUAUAUUUUCUUAUAUUGACCAGUUUUCUUAAAAAGUAGAUACUAUUUUUAUAAUCAUACAACAGCAAGAGAGGAGCUCUCAUACCUUCUCCAUUCUUCUGUAUUACCUAUUACAUAGUGAAUUUUUUUCUAAAAUUAAUACUGAAUAAAAGUUUCCACAGCUUUAAAAUAAAGGCCUAAAAACCACUCUUUCAGAUUAGAUCCUGGGCAACUAAAAUUUUAAACACCUAAACAACACCAAGCACUUAAAGCUUGAGAACUUAAAUUUAAGAAAAAUGGUUGAACAAUUUUUGUUUCCACCCUUGAUAUCUGAAUGGUUAAACAAUUUUAAAACGAUUUUUUUUUUUUUUUUUUUUUUUUUUUUUGGUAAAUGUGGGACCUCCAUGUGUUGUUGCCCAGGCUGGUCUCGGACUCCUGGCCUCAAGUAAGCAAUCCUCCC
rnacentral:lncRNA from 1 species